AUGGUUGAGCAGGAAGACGACCAACAGUGCUCACGGCCUCCCCCCAAAAUUCAGCAGGCAUGCUCCUCUGUUUUAAUAGAGCACACGCCAUUGCCACCACCAUCAGGUUCCACCUCUCAACAACACCAUUCUACUACAAACAUAAGGUGCAGAGAAGUGGCAUUGGAUGCCUUCAUCAGCACAAUAGGCAACAAAUUUCGUCGAGGUAAACUCGCCGCCAUUGUCUGUGCAGAACACGUGCAGUUUGCAUCCGCUCUAAGCUUCUGCUCCUGCCUGAAUCCUUUUGAUGGCAUCAGAUGCACUAUUCUUAGCAGCCAGGAGCAUCAACCACAUGUAGCGAGUGGGACACUAGCAGCAAGAAGUAGCGCUGCCCUCCAGGUGUGGCAGGCGAAACAGGACUGCAUAGGUCGCCAUGGACAAGCUCAAGUAGCUCUUGCGUGCGGUACCUUGCUUGUCGAGGAAAUGCACCACAACGGUGCUUGGUGA
rnacentral:rRNA from 1 species